UACGAAGGGGCUAGCGUUGCUCGGAAUCACUGGGCGUAAAGCGCACGUAGGCGGAUCUUUAAGUCGGGGGUGAAAUCCUGGAGCUCAACUCCAGAACUGCCUUCGAUACUGAGGAUCUCGAGUCCGGGAGAGGUGAGUGGAACUGCGAGUGUAGAGGUGAAAUUCGUAGAUAUUCGCAAGAACACCAGUGGCGAAGGCGGCUCACUGGCCCGGUACUGACGCUGAGGUGCGAAAGCGUGGGGAGCAAACAGG
rnacentral:rRNA from 1 species